rnacentral:rRNA from 1 species
GGACCCGCACAAGUAGUGGAGCAUGUGGUUUAAUUCGAAGAUACGCGCAGAACCUUACCAACACUUGACAUGUUCGUCGCGACUCCAAGAGAUUGGAGUUUUCGGUUCGGCCGGACGAAACACAGGUGCUGCAUGGCUGUCGUCAGCUCGUGUCGUGAGAUGUUGGGUUAAGUCCCGCAACGAGCGCAACCCUCACUUUUAGUUGCCAUCAUUAAGUUGGGCACUCUGAAAGAACUGCCAGUGAUAAGCUGGAGGAAGGUGGGGAUGACGUCAAGUCCUCAUGGCCCUUACGUGUUGGGCUACACACGUGCUACAAUGGUAUCUACAACAGGAAGCAAGACGGUGACGUUAAGCAAAUCCUUAAAAGAUACCUCAGUUCGGAUUGCACUCUGCAACUCGAGUGCAUGAAGCUGGAAUUACUAGUAAUCGU